AACCAACUGAGCCACCCAGGCGCCCCAUGUCCUUGUCAGAUUUCAACCAUCUCCACAGCAUCAUCACCAGGAGCAGACUCCAGCUCAAGAAAUCACCUUCCUCGCUCCUCCACAGAAGCAGG